UAAUAUGAGAGUUUGAUCUUGGCUCAGGAUGAACGCUGGCGGCGUGCCUAAUACAUGCAAGUCGAACGAACUUCCGUUAAUUGAUUAUGACGUGCUUGCACUGAAUG
rnacentral:rRNA from 1 species